rnacentral:lncRNA from 1 species
AAAAAAAUUAUGAAAUAUAGAUAAGUUCUAUAGUAUGGUAAAUUUAUUGAAGAAUAAUUACGUGAAUGGUGGUGUAGAGUCCAUGGUAGCAAUGACGGUUGAUGAUGGUGUAUCUGUAUAUACUACGACGUUCGAGUCCAUAAAUAAAUGAGGUUAGUGAGAGGUAAGAAUGAAGCAUACAUUGAGGAGUAUGACAUAGCACUUACACAACUUCAAACACAUAAUAAUUUUCGUUACCAAGGAGAUAGUAAUAGGCUUGGAUCAACCCAAAAUUUCACUGAUAAAGGGAUGCCCCCAAGUCGAUUAUUUGUGAUGGCAUGAGUAAACGACUUUUAAGCAUAGUCAAAGGGGUGUUAUUUUAAGAUACUCAUUGGCGAUGAGUGGUUAUAGAUAUUGUUUUAUAGUGGUCGUUUCGUGAUGGAUUAUGUGUUUAGAUAGUGAUGUUUAUUUCUUUUAUGGUGUAUAUUUUCGUGUGUUUCGCCUAUAUACGGCGGCGUCUGUAGUUUGUAUUUUCUGAAUCACCACUCUCUGUUCGUCUUGAGCA